ACAUCAGUAUCUACUGUAUAUAUAAAUACUAAACUCUUACACCAGUCAUUCCUAUGAAUUGAGGUGUACAAAGUUUGAUUUGUAUCAAAGAUGUAAUUAUUAUUUUUAAAACCUCUUUUCACUACACUGCUGCUGUAAUUACUUUGAAUUUUUAAAGAAAAAAAAUGUAGUUUUUUUUUUUUUUUUGGCUUCAGGUGUGUAUUCACCAAGAAUUUCAGAAUUUAUGUGGUUUUAUUUUAUUGGUACAUAAUCUGUAAACUUCUCAAGGCAUUAACAUGACAAGAUUUGUGUCUUUUAUUUUAUCUUGUGGCUCAGGUUAUAUUUGAAGAAGUUUCAAGUUUAUCUUCUAGUAGGCAAUGAAGUCUAUAUAAGGUCUUAUGAAGGAAUCGCCAGGUCCCUGGACUCCUGUGGCUGUUUUCCACAGUAACAACACAUCCUGCUGUAUGUUUGGGACAAUGGUAUCCUGUUGAAGAUGAGGGUGGGUCUUCUCCAAGGACCUGGCCACUGUGGGCCCCGGAACUGCCUUCUGAUGUUCUGCCUUCUCUGUUCCUCGUGUCACCAGCACUUUGAUGGCUGACUGGACCUGAUCAUGAGUAUUUGUAGGGUUAGAGAGGGUGACCCAUAAUUGAAAGUCCCCUGCUGUGUUUCAGCGCUGUAGUGCUGUGGUGUGUACCCCCCCCCCCCUUUUCCUUUGCGGUACUGAAAGGAUUGAAAGAAGAGGGUCAUGGCAUUGUCAUGCUUUGGGGGAGAAUUUUACUUCUCACAUGGAAACUGCACUUUUUUUUUUCUAAAUCCUUUGCAUUUUGAUGUUCAUUUAGUGUACAGCCCUACAGAGAAUGGGCUGGCCCAGGUAGCUUGGGCCCCUUGACUCAACUUCACUGGGGAACUUGACUCUGCAGUUGUGAAUCAGGGAAGCCAUGCUGUCUCCAGGUGUGGAGUGAAGCUGACCUUGGGCUCAUUAUUUCCAAAUGCCCUGUCAGGUCUGUCUAGGAUGUGCUGACUUCGGGGUGCUAUACAGAGGGGCCUGUCCUGGCAAUAGUUCUGUGCACCACCUCUCUGCCUCCUCAGUUUGUUAGGAACCAUUGUAGAGGGUGGUGAGGGGUCCAAUCCCAUGCAGCGCCUAUGCCCUGCCUCAUCUGCCAGAAAGCAUGAGGAAAGGACUUGCCCCUAAAGUAGUCCUGUAGAAGAUUAGAGUCCCUUAAAAAAAUCAAAGCAACAUAAUCAUAAUCACACCAUAUAAAAUUGCAAAACCCAGAGCCGUCUCCACUUCUUCCCGUGUGGGUCUGCAAAGUCUUUAGGCCUCAGCCCCAACAAGCCAUUCCCAGUCCCAGGAGGAAGGCUAGUGGCAGAGAGGUCUGGAGUUCCAAAUGGGCAGGUCACAAGAAGGUCACCAUGCCAUUCCACAUCUGGAGGAGGACUGUGUGGUGGAGUUUGCAUAGCACAGCCAUUGGAAAGGGAAGAUUAAUGACAGAGGCUAGGGUUGGCCAGAGGCAGAAGGCCCUUCUUACUGUCUGCCCCAAGCCCUCAGUGGAACUGUGAACAAAAGUUGGAAGAGCCUGGAGAAAUUUGAAUGAUGGAGUUCCCCCGCUAAGACACUGAGAAAAGCAGCCAGGAUGAGACUUGCUGUCAGUGAAAGGGCUACAGACUGGUGGUCAACUGCUUUGGAGGACUUGAGCCAUUGACUGGUGUCUUCUAAGGAGAAAAAGGCUUUGCCACCAGAGCUGAAUCUAGCAACGAUUGGCACCAGUGGGACAUUUGGUGUCCAUUCUCUGAGGCCACUUUGUGAUCUCCAGCCAGACUUUGGCACAAUGGACCUGCUGGCUUUGUGCUUUGUGAAGUUGGAGGCUCUGGGGGGUGGGGGUGGGAGUGGGGAGGAAGCAGGGAAGGGUCAACUAUGCAGCUGGUUCAUUCAUACUUGUUUUCUGGGAUGGAGAAGCCUGGAAUUAUCCCCCACCCCCACCCCCGAAAUGCUUGAUUGUGCUUGUUGAGCUAAACAAGCCGGUGACUGAAGCUAGUUCACCUCAAAACAGAGUUGGGAUGCCGCAUUUUUCAGAUUGCUGCGUAGCAACUGUGUGUUUAACACCUGUGGCUUUUUCUCCCUGGGGCACAGAAUAGAAGUGUUGAUGUGGACUCUAAACUGUACUUUUCUUGUAACUAUUUUGGAAUGAUGCACAUUUCUAAUGUCUGUUAUACUUGUACAGAGUAUUGCUCUUGGUUGCUUUUUUUUUUUUUUAAAGGAAAAAAAUGGCCUGAAAAACUUUUUUUUUAAAGACUUACAAAUACCAAAUAUAAAAAUAUGUC
rnacentral:lncRNA from 1 species